rnacentral:rRNA from 1 species
GAUGAAUGCUAGCGGCAGGCUUAACACAUGCAAGUCGAGGGGCAGCAUGAAUAGUAGCAAUACUAUUGGUGGCGACCGGCGGACGGGUGCGUAACGCGUAUACAGCCUUCCCUAAACAGGGGGAUAAUCUGGAGAAAUUCGGUCUAAUACCCCAUAACAUCAGAGCAGGCAUCUGUUUUGGUUAAAAUUUCCGGAGGUUUAGGAUGGGUAUGCGUAGCAUUAGCUAGUUGGUGAGGUAACGGCUCACCAAGGCGACGAUGCUUAGGGGGACUGAGAGGUUAACCCCCCACACUGGUACUGAGACACGGACCAGACUCCUACGGGAGGCAGCAGUGAGGAAUAUUGGUCAAUAGGCGGAAGCCUGAACCAGCCAUGCCGCGUGCAGGAUGACGGCUCUAUGAGUUGUAAACUGCUUUUGUACGAGGGUAAAGUGGGCUACGUGUAGCCUUUUGAAAGUAUCGUACGAAUAAGGAUCGGCUAACUCCGUGCCAGCCGCCGCCGUAA